UACGGGGGGGGCAAGCGUUGUUCGGAAUUACUGGGCGUAAAGGGCUCGUAGGCGGCCAACUAAGUCGGAUGUGAAAUCCCCAGGCUCAACUUGGGAACUGCAUCCGAUACUGGAUGGCUUGAAUUCGGGAGAGGGAUGCAGAAUUCCAGGUGUAGCGGUGAAAUGCGCAGAUAUCAGGAGGAACACCAAUGGCGAAGGCAGCUCGCUGGGACGUGACUGACGCUGAGACGCGAAAGCGUGGGGAGCAAACAGG
rnacentral:rRNA from 1 species